CUUGGUAACCUCCUUUUCAAAUGAACAUGGAAGAACAUGCAGAUGAAGUCAAAUCUCUGUUGACUGGUUUGUGACCAACUUGACAGACUUCCCGGGAAUCUUUUCAUCUGACAGUUGCAAGAACCACAUGAUACUGAAAUCCAUAUGUUCAGCUGACAAUCCACUUGCUGAAGACUGGAGACCUUUUGGAAGUCUCUAUCAUAGCUCCCUGGGGGACUACCUUAGUAAAAUUCCUCCGGUAUGUAACUGGCCUUUUAUUCUUGGUCAUUUACCCUGUCGUUUCAAAAAUAAUUUAUGUAUGCAAGGACUUUCUCUUCUUAUGUGUAACAGAUUUGGUUCUUUAAGAGUCUCACAAAGGAAUAUCUUCAGAUCCUUUUAUAUCAAUCUGCUCCACCUAUUUUUUGCUCUUUCAAAGAGCUUUGAUCUGUGAGACAUGACUCUUAGUACAAAAUUAAAAUCUACACCUACUUGUUGUAUUAGAUUUGUAUCUUCUGUACUUUCUUCUAGAUCCAACCGCUUUAUCUAGCAUGAAAAUUGUCAUCUGCAGUUUCCAGUUUCCCUGAGAUCUUUCCAAAAGUUGACAUCAUUUUUGGUGCCAAAGCUACAACUUGCAGAGCAUAGAUUUUUAUGGACAUGUGGAUGAGUUCAGUCCGGGCGGGUUUGUUCAGGCAUACUCUGCUGGCUCAGCCUUGAAGUUGCUCUUAAACAAAUUCCACUCUGCAGAGAAAGACUGCAAAAUGGAAAUCUUGUGUAUAAUGGUCAAUAACACACACCUAUCAUUUAACUAGUUUGUUAUUGUUUUAUCUUUUUUAAUUUUUUUCCUAACAUUUUGAUCAUCACUGGUUACCACUAGCUGGCCUUCUAGUUCUGUGCUGGGGAAGAGAUGAGUUGUUUUUUUUUUUUUUUUUCUCACCCCC
rnacentral:lncRNA from 1 species